UACGAAGGGAGCUAGCGUUGCUCGGAAUUACUGGGCGUAAAGCGUUUGUAGGCGGCUAUCUAAGCCAGUGGUGAAAGCCCAGGGCUCAACCCUGGAAUUGCCAUUGGGACUGGAUAGCUAGAGGAUGUUAGAGGUAAGUGGAAUUCCUAGUGUAGGAGUGAAAUCCGUAGAGAUUAGGAGGAAUAUCGAUGGCGAAGGCAGCUUACUGGGACAUUUCUGACGCUGAGAAACGAAAGCGUGGGUAGCAAACAGG
rnacentral:rRNA from 1 species